AUUGAACGCUGGCGGCAGGCCUAACACAUGCAAGUCGAGCGGAUGACGGGAGCUUGCUCCUUGAUUCAGCGGCGGACGGGUGAGUAAUGCCUAGGAAUCUGCCUGGUAGUGGGGGACAACGUUUCGAAAGGAACGCUAAUACCGCAUACGUCCUACGGGAGAAAGCAGGGGACCUUCGGGCCUUGCGCUAUCAGAUGAGCCUAGGUCGGAUUAGCUAGUUGGUGAGGUAAUGGCUCACCAAGGCGACGAUCCGUAACUGGUCGGAGAGGAUGAUCAGUCACAAUGGAACUGAGACACGGUCCAGACUCCUACGGGAGGCAGCAGUGGGGAAUAUUGGACAAUGGGCGAAAGCCUGAUCCAGCCAUGCCGCGUGUGUGAAGAAGGUCUUCGGAUUGUAAAGCACUUUAAGUUGGGAGGAAGGGCAGUAAGUUAAUACCUUGCUGUUUUGACGUUACCGACAGAAUAAGCACCGGCUAGCUCUGUGCCAGCCGCCGCGGUAAGAC
rnacentral:rRNA from 1 species